rnacentral:pre_miRNA from 1 species
GUAGUAUUCCCUCCGUCCCAAAAUUCUUGUCUUAAAUUUGUUUAGAUACGGAUGUAUCUAACACUAAAAUGUAACUAGAUACAUCCGUAUUUAGACAAAUUUAAGACAAGAAUUUUGGGACGGAGGGAGUACAAA